rnacentral:lncRNA from 1 species
AAAAGACAAAAAUAUAAGCCAAAGGCCGAAGAUCUAAAAAGGGCGAACCAGGAGAUACACAAAAGAUGAGCGCCGCAAUACACAAAACUAACCCCCCCCCCCCCCCCCCGAACCUUAUCGAUCGUCUUCUUCAUGAAGACUUAAGGGAAGCAGCCAUUUUCAAACAUAAAAACACACCAUAAUCAGCUCCUUGUUCAAGCUAACACACAAAAGAGAAGGAACCAUCUCCCCCUCAACCCAGAGCCAUCACACACGCGAACCCCAUAUCCAGCCUACCCUACACCACCUUCCUCUAUGUCUGCCAUCUCUGGCGAGCUCCAUCGACGCACGCAAAAGGAAAACGUGGACGGGAACAAUGCGAAAAUAGAUAGGAAAGGAACAGGUUUGUAACACCUUAAACUCGGCGCAAAAAUGACUGAAGACCACCCCCUAAACAAUCCAAAACAUUCAAAUACAGUCAAUGUUAAGUGAGGUCUCCGUUUAAACUUCGGCGAGGUUUUUCCGGCGAGGUUUCUGUCUCAGACUAUAGCUAUUGCCAUUUUCAUUUUCUCCCAGUUUGCUGCAUGAGUUUAGUAGGUUUGAGUCUCUUAAGGAGCUCGUUUGUUGAAUCUGUCCAAAGCUCCGUUCGUUUGUCGCUAGUUCCGAGGUUGGAGAUUUCUGGCGAGGCUUUCCUUUUGAGGACAAGUUGCCGGUCCUAUUCGAAUUUUCUUUUCCGGUGUGGUUGUGGCUAUUGAAGUUACGGGAGGCCUUGAUAUCCCAUUUCACCCAGGGAGACAAGUCAGUAACUUUGAUUAUGUUUUCUUACUUUGCCAGGAAGUUUGGCUAUAUAAUAAAAGUGUGUUAAAAUAUCAGUCAAUCUCUUGCUUGGUAGCUAAUUUGAGAAUGCAAUGCAUGGUUCCAUCUUUCUUCUUGAGUUGGUAGCUUACUAUUAAUUAAGUUAUUUUUAUAUUAGUGUAAAUGGAAUGUGAUCAUAUAUCCAUUUGUCUGUAGACCAUGCAACUGUGCCAUUUUUCGUAGACUAUUUUUAGUUUGUUGCCAUUUAUUUGAGAAAACGAUGCCUCAGAUUCGUUUGGCUAGUAAUCACUUCUUUGGAUUAAAGUUAUUUCUCUCUUUAAAUGAUUCACUGUCUUCUCAAUAUAUAGACAUGAAAAUUGUCUUUGAGGGUUGCGUGUGCAAUCUUCAAUCAUGCCAAGAAAUGGUUUAUUAAAUUAUCAUAACUACGGGUACAGUUCCCGUGACGUAGUUGUGAUUUGUAAUUUCUAAAAUCCGGGUGUGCAUUUCAUAUGACCCGACUUCAAUUUCCAACAAGGUUAAAUAGAAUGUGUCAUGAACCACGGGUGCAUUUCAUGUAGCAUGGCUUACGAUGUGUUUUAAAUAACCUUGAAAUUUUCCUGAAAUAUUAAAAGCGACUAAAAAGUUAAAAAUGCACAAUAGGUUUAAAAGCUGUAAAAAAUCAGAUAACUAGACCAAUAAUAAUAGUUGAGCAAUCGUGCUAAAUCUACGGAAUCCGGGAAUGCCUAACACCUUCUCCCGAGUUAACAGAAUUCCUUACCCGGAUUUCUGUGUUCGCGGACUAUAAAAUAGAGUCGAUCUUUCCUCAAUUCGGGAUUUAAACCGGUGACUUGGGACACCAUAAUUAUCCCAAGUGGCGACUCUGAAUUUUAAAUAAAUAAUCACGUUUCGAUUGUCACUUAAAUUGGAAAAUACUCCCUUAUACCCUUUCGGGGUAGGAAAAAAGAGGUGUGACAGCUCUGGCAACUCUGCUGGGGAAAAGAACCCAGAAUCUCUGGUUCAAGGUUCAGAAUUCGAGCUUAGAAUAAUUGUUAUAAUUGGAUUUGUUUAUUACUUGCUUUAUUACAUGUUUGGGCCUAAUGUGCUAAAUGUUGCUUUUUACCGCUUUGAUACUAUUUGGAUUAUAUAUAAAUUGCUACGAAACCCUCCUCUCUCUAAGUCUUCUAAAUCAUCUGGGAAGUGUGCACUUCGUGUGACUUCUCUUCUGUUAGAGUCAUAUCCCAAUUUUAGAAUGAGGUUCAGACAAGUUGCAAAGCCGGUGAAGCUUCUGUAUUCUCGGUACGCUGCCCCCCUCCCAGCUCGAGCUGUCCGCUCGGGUAAGCCAGGUCUAGAACAAAUAAACCCAGGUUUUUAAACCUAGAAUAACAUUGCCUCAUGCCUGAUCCCUAGUAGGAAUUCUUGUUUGCGUCACGUGCAUCUGACUUUGGGGACUCAACACAGGGGUUGGGUCCGUCUAGGACAAGUAUAUCCCAAAACAUUAAAAGACCAUCCUGAUGCAUCCUAAUGUGCUACAUGUUGCAAUCUUCAAGGGUAAAAGGGUCACUUGGCGGACCAAUGAUAAUUGAGGGCGAAUGAAAAACGAAAAAAAAGAGGGUGAAGUGUGAGGAUAAAGCGAGUAGGGCCCAAUUAUGUUUUCUACCACAUUUUUGUUAAGAAAAAAAGAGCUUGAAAAUUCAAAAAAAAAAAAAGAUUUUGCACUUUUUCAUCAUUUUCUGAAAAUCAGAAAAUCAAAAAGAAAAGGAAAAGAAAAAAAUCCAAAAAGAGUUUACACGUUUCAUCAUUUUUUUCCAAAAAAGAAGACAAAGAAAAAAUAUUUUCUCUAAAUUAGUUGUUUUUUUAUUAUUUAUUUCUCUGCCCGUAUUCAUUCUACCCAAACUACGCAUACCUGAUUCUCGUCUUUCGAGGUGUGAUACGUAGGCAACCCAUAUAGGGUCCGGUCUUUCUAGAAAAUCUUAGGUUCUUGUCUUCGCGGGGUCUUAGCCAAAUAUUGCAUUUUUAGCCACUCUAGCCACAUAGGUUAAUUUUAGAAGAAUAGUCACAAUCAUGUCUUGCAUGUAUCUAGUAGGGAAUGUUAUUGUCUCACGUAGUGUUGGUUUUAGUUUUUUCAUACAGGUGUGGAUCUACUUACCGGAGUUUGAGCAUGACAGAAAACUCAGGAUCGCUUAUUUUUAAUUUUUAUGCUUUGAGUCUGUUUUUCUUUUUGUGUCGUCUUUUACCUACU